UACGGAGGGAGCUAGCGUUGUUCGGAAUUACUGGGCGUAAAGCGCACGUAGGCGGCUUUGUAAGUUAGAGGUGAAAGCCUGGAGCUCAACUCCAGAAUUGCCUUUAAGACUGCAUCGCUUGAAUCCAGGAGAGGUGAGUGGAAUUCCGAGUGUAGAGGUGAAAUUCGUAGAUAUUCGGAAGAACACCAGUGGCGAAGGCGGCUCACUGGCUCGAUACUGACGCUGAGGUGCGAAAGCGUGGGGAGCAAACAGG
rnacentral:rRNA from 1 species